rnacentral:misc_RNA from 1 species
GCUUAAUAAUAUUUAAGUCGCAUUCAGAAUUGUGAUAUCUCACAUUUCAUAAAAACUGAAAAAAUAGGGAACAUUAUAAUGGAAGCCAUACUGAGAUGGGUAAUUCAUUUCAAUCGGGAAUCUGCUUCAAAAUUUUGUGCUUGGCUCGUUUUGUGAAGCUCUGCCAUGGUCACCAAACGGGUGGCAAGAAAUCAGCAAGAAUAGCUCAAGCACGAAGUAGACAAAGGAAGCUUGCGGUUGAACCUCCACAUUCUAAUCAUAAGCUUUCAGCAAAAGAUUAGCAGUAAGCAUUAAGGUUCCAAUUGAGAUCAUUCCCAGGAAAGAAGGAGAUGUUCAGGGUAGUUGGUGAAGGGCGAAUUGGGUAGAACAAGACCCAUAAAAUUUCUGUAUUACACCUUAAAACCAAGAAAACACCUAGCCUGAAGGAAAUAUAAGCCAUCCAACAGUCAACUAUAUCCCAGAUUCUGUAGUUCAAUUUUGAAUUCUCUCCUAAUCUAAUCAAACUAAAGCUCAAAUAGAUAGCAGCCACCAGAUUCCAUGGCAACAAGACUUGCAACCAGUGCACAUCACCAGACAAACAUAAUCUCAUCCAUCUACAAUACAGAAAUAAACAUGUAUAAAAUAAGUAAAAUGCAAAAACAAGAGUAGAAUAGGUACAUGUAAUUUAUAAAAUACUGGUAGUGAUACACUUUUGAUAAACAAAACAUAUUGCCAUGCAAUCAAGAUAAAACAAGUUAAAGGAGGAAAGCUCAACAAAGCCCUUCGCCAAGCCAGCCAAUAAUAGAUUACAGCCCUAAACACACAAAAGAUGAAGUCAGAUACAAGUAGAAAACUCUUGAGGUUGAAAUGCAACUGCCCAAUAUCCAGGGCACUGUGAAUAAUCUACUUGUCAAUAAAGCAUAUAGUCCUUGCUUUAUGUGGAAUCAAAAGUAUCAUUAAUAAUAUUCAGCACAAAACUACGCAAGAUAUCAUGCAGAAAUAACUACCAUGAUGAAGUUAGUCAAUGAAUGAUUCCAUUCAUGCACUCUGAUAGCAAGCCUUAAAAAUUUUGAUACAAUCAAAACUUGUGCCAAAACCACACAUUCUAAUCAACCUAACAGACAAUGACACGACUCACACAAGGAUUUGGGGUUUCAAAAUAUGACAAAUUCGCAAUAGGAUCUCCUCACUUCAUCCAAUUCACAAUUGAUUUCAAGGAAACAACUGCUCACAACUGAUUGCUGAUGAUAAAUACAAACAUUUAAAACCCUGAUUCACAUGGUUCACAACCAUCAAGGUGCAUAAAGUAGCUAUGAUGGCAAAUGACACCAAUCAAAAUAAUGUAGUUCCCAAUUUUGUGUCCAAUUCUGGCAGUCUUAGCUAAUGCCAGAUUUUUAAACAAAUAUAUGUCAAACAAGAAAAUAAAUUUUUUUUGGAGAACUUUCUAAUAAUCAGGCCAUUCAACAGUUCUAAAUUGGCAGGCUGGAGGCAUGCUCGAUGAAAGCAAGGACUAAGGAACAUAACUGUUCCCAAACUCAUUGUACAUCAUUAUUGAAGGCAGAUUAAAUACAAGAUAUUAGCAGGUGCUACUGGUCUUUUUCACAUCACCAGGACAAUGGUUUCGCAAAAGGAAGCAAAUGAAAAUAUUAGUCAAUCUAAUAUUAGUAAUACAUCUUCCAACUGAUGUUUGAGAGAUACAAUUAAAUCUCCAAAGUCAUGGAAAAAGAAAGGUGGUAUGUCAGAAAAACCUACUAAUUCUAUGUUUGGAAGAUCCAUAAAUACCAACUUGCUCCUCAGCAGCUCAUUCAAAACUUCUAAAAGGCAGAAUUUUGUACUAAAACUUGCUUGAAUCCUCUGUUUCACACAUCAUCAUUGCAAGCUGAUUGAAUGAAAAUAAUCAGUACAUUCACAUAACAGUCAGGGUGAUUCUUUGCUUAAAUCAAAAUUAAUCAAGAAAAAUGAUUAAAGUCAACCAUUUAAACAUUGACUCACAAGACAUUAACCAUUUACAAUCACACAUUCAUCACAACUCAAUUAUUAAAAGGACCCUUUAUGCAAUGAGAGGAAAAUCAUGGAAGCUAUAAGGAACAUGGAAUGUUUCAAAAUAUGCUCAGUGAAAAAACAGCAACUUAAAUGCAUUAUCUGCUGGUUACCAGACAAUCCUAACUCAAUUAUAACACUUACAAACAAUUUAGAGAGUUAAAUUCCUUUCAAACAAAUUCUAAAUACAAUUCAUAAAAAAAUCCAUUUUUUGGAAUUACCAUUACUCCUAGCCUAUCCAACCACAUGCAACCACAUGGAACUGUUAGGCAACCAUAAUAGUUGCCAAGUUGCCAAUUAAUCAACUUAGCAGUUUCUCCAAUGAAACCAGUCCUAUUUAGUAGCAAGAUCUUUGAACUACAACCGUAAUAACUGAAUUAUUGGCCCACAAUUAGCGUCCUGCACCAUAUGAGUCUUACAUUAUUCCAAUUUGAAAGCAUGCUCUCAUAUUUGCAUAAAUGUUCACGUAUUUAAACCAGAAGAUCAAUUAUGUUACAUGUUUAUUCAACGAGGAAAUGGAUAAGUAACAGCGUACAACUAUAACUUGAUCCAGUUAGAUAUAUAAUGGACUCAAAGGGGAGCAAAAUUGAUAUUACAUUCAAUAGAAAUUCUUUCUAAAACGAUAUAAAACACAAAGAUCACUGAAUGAGAUUUAUUAAGAAUCCUUGGGAAAAAAAAUUUCCAAGGAAUCAUUUUCCAAUGUUGCUGUCAUUUUACAUUAGGUCACAAAAUUACUUCUAACAAUAAUCUUGCCUAGUCUAUAAAUGAUGCCACGCCUUAAAUUACAAACUCAGAAAUAUAAAUAAAUCCAAGUCACUCCAUCUUUGCUUCCUGAUCUUCAUCUAGUCUCAUCUUGUCCUACAACAGGAAAAGAGAGGUACAUGCACCUAUUUAAUAUAAAGUAGGAAAAAAAAUGGCAUUCUUCCUAUUCUUAAAUACAAAAAUGAAAAAGCAGAUAAGGGUUUGAAGUUCUGCCAUUUAAAUGAACUAUAUGGCCUAAAAUAUUCAUCCAUGAAUAAAGGACUCAAAGGUAUAAAAUAACUGUGCCAUUUACGAUAUCCUGUAACCAUAACAGCACAAUAUCAAUAUUAUACAGUAUCUCGCUUCCAUCACAGAUCUAAUGGCCUAAAUCCAGAAAACACUAACUCACAAAACUAAAAGCAAAACAAGAACAUCAACAAGGAUUACAACCGCUGCUAAAUACCCAAUUCAAGAAGAAAAACUAACCAAUUAGCCAACCAACCCACAGGCAGAACCACCCUUCUGACAAACACAAUGAAACAGAAAAACCAUAGUUACACUCCUACCCAAAAAUUUUAUUUCUCUAUUCCAAUAAGUUGGGUUUUGACUGCAGUUUCUUGAAAAAUAACGCAGUCAAUACUCAUUAAUACAUUGAAAUUUUACCUAUUAAGAAACAACAUUUGAAAUACAAAAUAAACCGAAAUAUCGCUCCCAAGGAAAUAAAGGGAACAAUUCGAAACUGAUGUAUCACAGAUCAAUUAUAAUAAUAAACUCAUCAAUUGUGAUUCUAUUCACAAACCAAUAAUUCAAUAUGAGAGAGAGAGAGAGAGCAUUUUCAAUACCUUCCGGAAGCCAACCAUAGCUGCGUCGAGAGAUGGAGAGCAUCGAAGUCAUCAAUGCCGAAGCAGUGGCUGUGUGGUAUGGCAUCAUCGAUUCAACGCCGAAGCUCAUUUCAACUGGACGCCUGAAAAUGGGUUGAGAGAGAGGCUUGUUGGCGGAAGCUCGAAAGGGAGAAGCCCGUGAGGAUUUGGGUUUGGACGUGAACCGGGCAGCGGCGUUGCGAGCGGAGGAAGUUGAUCGGAAAAUGGAUCUGGCGGCGGUGAAAGAGGCCAUUUUAGGAAAAUAGAGACUCAAGUGUAUUGUAGGCGCUUUGAGAUGGGAACUUAAACCCGUCGGAGUCGAGGAGGGUUUGGAUGUAAG